CCUACGGGAGGCAGCAGUGAGGAAUAUUGGUCAAUGGGCUUACGCCUGAACCAGCCAAGUCGCGUGAGGGAAGACUGCCCUAUGGGUUGUAAACCUCUUUUGUCAGGGAGCAACGCCGGCUACGUGUAGCCGGACUGAGAGUACCUGAAGAAAAAGCAUCGGCUAACUCCGUGCCAGCAGCCGCGGUAAUACGGAGGAUGCGAGCGUUAUCCGGAUUUAUUGGGUUUAAAGGGUGCGCAGGCGGAAUGUCAAGUCAGCGGUAAAAUUUCGGGGCUCAACCCCGUCGUGCCGUUGAAACUGGCGUUCUUGAGUGAGCGAGAAGUAUGCGGAAUGCGUGGUGUAGCGGUGAAAUGCAUAGAUAUCACGCAGAACUCCGAUUGCGAAGGCAGUUCACUGGACUGCAACUGACACUGAGGCUCGAAAGUGUGGGUAUCAAACAGGAUUAGAUACCCUGGUAGUC
rnacentral:rRNA from 1 species